rnacentral:lncRNA from 1 species
CAAAACAUCUUGUGACUGAGGAAAAAGAAAGAAAGUAUCCCUGUUGUGUUUGAUAUAUGUUACAAAACGGUAUAGAACCAUACUGCACACCUUGCUUCUCCAGACUGCUCUCUUCCCUGGCAGAGAUGGAGAGUGCUCGGACCAGCUCAUAUAACUAACUCACCCCGUCUUUAGUCUACAGAUUAAUUAGCGGUUACUUGUGUCAACAGCAACAACGGUUGUACUGCACGUGUGGAGCUAAUACCCACGAAUCUUCCCCAGGACGUGAUCUGCUACUCGUUCUAUGGCUUUCAGGUUCCUAGACUUAGCAGCAGAAGAGAAGGCUGGGGAGCUUAUCAGCUUGUGGGACUCUAAGAUGGAAAGAAUUCGACCUAAUUUACAGCAUAGCCAAACAACAUCUAUUAACAAGAGGAAAAAUAAUUCAGAAAUGGGACCACAGCUUGGAAGGCUUUCAGAGUCUGGCCACUGCUCACCACUUCAGGCACAUCUCAUGCCCCAGCCCCUUCCUCAACUCUCAGCUCCUUCUACACUGAAUUUCUGGCAGUCCCACAAUCCUGCCAGCUCCUGCUCCCCUGCCAGGGGUCACGUGUGCUGUUCCUUCUGCCCGAAGACAGAACACAGUCCCUGCCUUCAGGACCACACAACCCAGUCAAGGAAAGAGACAAAUAAACAGAGCCUUCGUAAAGUUCAUGCAAGAAAUAUGUCAAAGGAGCAUUCCAGCCCUCUCAUUUUCUGGAACUAAGGGAGUGAUUUACCGGAGAGGUGUGGCUACUGGUAGCAGAGCUAGACCUAGAAUCUUUCUGGUUUCUAAUCCUGCACCCCUCCCACCACUCCAUGCUAGUGCUGAUCUCUCAACUUGGCAGCUGCUUGUAAAUAUUUAAAACAGCCUUCUAAAGAUCUGCAAAACAUCAGAGAAGCCACACUUUAAGCAAUGCAUCCUAAUCCCCAAAGGUAAAGAUACCAGCAGAAGACAGCAGUCUGCAGCCUGGAAGAGGGCACUCAUCAGAACCCGAUCAUGCUGGUAUACUGAUCUCAGACUUCCAGCCUCCAGAACUGUGAGAAAUAAAUGUCUGUGAUUUAUAAAAUUUUUUUUAGAAAAGAGAGAUGUCCACAUGAGGCCGUUUCAGUGGGGUUCCAAAAGUCUUGGGCUAAACUUUCUGUUGGAUGAUCCACAGGCGACCAUAGCCCACUGUGGAAGGAGAGUGCCUCAUACUCAAGUAAGGGGAAGGACAGCUCCCCUGACCCUUCAGCUCAGAUGUUGUGAAGUGGCCAUUCCAACUGCAGGUGACCUGCAGGUGCUGGCCUGUCUUCAGCACCUGCAAUCAGCUACAGGCCGGAGUGCUUCAUCUUCAACAAAGGAGGAUCAUCUGUGAAAAAGAUUAUAGUGGGUACUUCAGGGAAUAGGCUUCUGAUGGCAUCGCUCAUAUCAUGGGAUGAGUCAGCAUUUCCCGAACUAUACCCCAGAAGCAGAUGGAUUCAGAAGACUUCUAAGCCAAGAUCAAGCAGACUAAGAACUAAUGACAUAAGACUGAAUGAAUUGAUAAGAGUUAAUUGUAGUUUUUGUCUGGAAUAUUGUUGCUGUUUUAAUUUUUUAUUUUCUGAAUAUAUAAGGAAGCCUUUUGCUUUCCUCUUGAGCAAUCCAUAAUUCAUAGUAAUUAAGUAGACUCUGCUUUUAUAAACUGAAAUGAAACAUUUGCAAUGAUAUUUUACUCUCCCUGAUUAACACCUCCAGACUUUGGACUCUGUUACUGAGCAUUCUUGUUUUCAUAGCAAUACACUUAUUUCUGUAGAAUUUGUCCUUUUUUAUAUCCGCUUCAAUAAGAAUCUGUCCUCCCAUAAUUGGAAACAUCGGUUAAACAACCAAAGUGUUAUUUGAGAAUAUCAUAUUUGAGAAUGAUGCUCAUUAAUCAAAUCUGACCAGACACAUUAAGGAACUAAGGUUGACUUUAUGAAGCCAAUGCUUGCAAAGCUGUCUUGGGACUGGCCUGAUAUCUGGUUUACAGUAUUUCAUCCUUACAGGUGAGUAAAGUAAGUCUUCUUGGCAGACCCAAGAACCCUAGGAUAUCUUGUGGACCUCCAGAAGAGAGGAUUUAUAGAUAAUAUAGGUAAAAUCUGAUAGCAAGUUCUUAGCUUGGCUUCCUACCCUCAAGAGGCUUUUAAAAGUCUAAUUUGAAAUUCCUUGUGAAAACUUCAAGCAAAGAAACAUAAGAAGGCCUCCAUAGUUAAUUACAAUUUUUCUUGCAACUUUGCAAAUAAUCAAGCCAAAUCUAAGGAGACCAGCCUUAUUUUAUGAUCAAGAAUAAUCUCUCUUUGAGAUUAUCAGAAAGUAUGGGAGUGGAAGAGUGACUUUUGUGAGAGGGGGAAAUCUUGUGUUUCUGGGAAUCUAUGCGUUGUCUAUAGCACAUCUUUCUGUCAAGAAAAGAUUCUUGACUUUUUCAUUGUCUUUGAGCUUUGCUGCACCUAGUUAUACAAUUUGUAAAUUUGACGUAACUGAUGGAUAUGCAAACUGUAUUGUCUAAUGUUUAUUUAAUUGACUUCCUCCUCUCUGUGGAAAAAUCAGUUUUAAGAUCUACCUGCAAAUUUUACUGGAACAUGUUACUUGCUCAAAUUGUCAAUCCUCACCAGGCUUUCUUUCCUUUCAGUUUUUUUCAGUAUCUGACUCCAACCCUCCAAACUAACUUUUCCAAUUUUUCUCCCUGUUGCCUGAUUUCAGCAUCACCAAAUAAAACCUAACUGCUCAGACCACUACCUAGACUCCAGGUUGCCUUGCACCUGGCCCUUGUCCUCUAGCAUCUGAAGAAAAUACUACUAACUUCAAAGGAUUCACUAUCACAACAGACCAUGCAUGCUCCAGGUGUCUCUUUGGACGAGCUCCUGUCUGAGCCACUAAGGAAAUCCUUGGAAAGGCUUGAGGCAUUCAAGCUUCUUAUAUGAGAGGUAACCAAGACUGCAAACAAAUUUACCAAGAACACAGCAUUGUAGCUAGAGAGCUUCAAGAAACUCAACAAGUGGUGCUGUAUAAUAGAAGGAUUUUCCUCCAAUGGUCUUGAAAUUCACUGGACUGGUUACUCUCAGGCUUCACUCUUGGCUCUUUAUUUUAAUAUAAUCUUUUAUAUUAAUAUAUUGUCUUCAUUUUAGGCAUCUCUCUCUUUAGGACCUAAUCUUCUAGGACCUAGGAGAUUUUAGGUUUUAGGGCCCUAAAACCACUGACCUUUGCCACCACCUCUCAACAGAUGGUUCAACUAGUUUUAUAGGAAAAACACCAAGAAGAAUCCUCAAGAGACAAUAUUUCCUAGACCCUGCUUUGCCCCAUUCAGAAAGUUUAUAAUCAGCUGUAAGUUUUUCACUGAGGGAAGAUAUUUAUCCUCUUGAACCAAAGGGAAGGCAAUGUGGAAAUUUAUCUGAGCCUUGUGCACCAGAAAGCAGAGAAGAUGGAGAAGGUUAAGAAAUCUCCCCACACAUUUGUAUUCCGAGAAACUGCUAACCAGCAAAAGAUCACCCUACUGUCCCAUUUUCUGAGAUAAGACUCACCUCCACCUUUCCUCAGUGACUCAGUGAAGACCCAUCUCCAUCCUACCUCAUGAUGCCUGUGAGAUUCUCCGAUGAUUCCUUUGUUUAAGCUUCUAUAAAACUCAAGGGACCUUUCCUUUUCUUUGAGAAGUUUUUCAUUGAUAAAUAAUAUCCCUAUGGCAAUAGCCUGAAUAAAAUCAUCAUCUAAUUGUCCAGGGCAUUUUGUCUUUCACACAUUGAAUGCACCAUUUCAAACCAAAUAGGAGUCCUAUGAUAGAGAACAGGAAGCCCUACUCAUUGAGUCAGAUAGUAUCCUAUGAUUAUAUGUCCUUCCCUAAAUAUAACCUUUUCUUUUCCAUGGAGUUAAUUUUUAUUUAUUCUCUUACUUGACUUUCUUCAAAUCUCUGGCUUAGUGUGCCCACAGUCUCCAACAACUCUUUAAAAUACUUUUCUAUCCAAAUUUCCAUGUUAUUCUUUUCUUGGAGACUUCUCUCACAAAGCUCUCUAUCUUCCAUCUCCAGUCUAUACUGAUCUACACCUCUUGACGUGCUGCAGAGCUAUCAUUGUGGGACUUCCCUCUGCCAUCUUUAUAGGAAUUAUUUACAUCUCUUUCUAAAUUGGAUCUCAUUUCCCUUUUUCUUACUUUAUUCCCUAUUGUCUUGGAGCACAUCCCAUAGAAUCUUCCUGAGAAGGGGUACAUGGGAGACACAUUUUUUGAGACAAUGCCUAUCUGGUAAUGUCUGUAUUCAACUCUCACUCUUGGUUAAUGUGAGAUGAUACAAAAUCUAUAGCAGUCUCUGGCCCCAGUUCCUGGCACAGAGCUCCUAAAACCCCUGUAAUUUUCUAGGUGAUAAGACACUAGGAGCAUCUCUUGUUCUAAUAUUUGGUCUUUGACCUCAUCCCUGAUGCAAGCCUCCUAAAACCCUUGUAAAUUCCUAAGUAAUAAGAGCACUAGGAGCAUCUUUUGUUCUAUCAAGGUGACUCAGGGUGGGCUCCUGGAUGGUUGCUGGAUGGGGGCUGGUCACCAGAAAGACCCAAGUAAUAAUGAUUAGAAGCUUGACAUUUUCAGCCCCACCCCCAGCUUCUGUAGAGAGUGGUGAGGGGCUGAAAAUGGAGUCAAUAAUUGAUCACGCCUACGUGAUGAAGCCUCCAUAAAAAUCCCAAAAGUGCAGGGUUCUGAGAG